AUCUCUUGAGUAUGAUUUCAGUGCGGCUGCCUUCCAAGCAGAAAGAUUAAGUAUUACUUAAAAGAGAUA
rnacentral:tRNA from 1 species